CAAUAGCGUAUAUUAAAGUUGUUGCAGUUAAAAAGCUCGUAGUUGGAUUUGUGGUGUACGCCGGCGGCCCGUCGCAAGACGGAGCUUGCUUGCGUCGCCAUCCUUGGGUGGAUCCUGUGUGGCAUUCAGUUGUCGUGCAGGGGAUGCCCAUCGUUUACUGUGAAAAAAUUAGAGUGUUCAAAGCAGGCUUAUGCCGUUGAAUAUAUUAGCAUGGAAUAAUAAGAUAGGACCUUGGUACUAUUUUGUUGGUUUGCGCACCAAGGUAAUGAUUAAUAGGGACAGUUGGGGGUAUUCGUAUUCCAUUGUCAGAGGUGAAAUUCUUGGAUUUUUGGAAGACGAACUACUGCGAAAGCAUUUGCCAAGGAUGUUUUCAUUAA
rnacentral:rRNA from 1 species